GGGGGUUGCUGGCUUGUUUGUCAGCUCUCCUGAAAUACAUUAGCGGUGGACAAGCAAGGCCUUCCGACGUGAUAAUGAUCGUCGUGGGGCGGAGCAUCAACGUCUGUCUGCUUCUAAAUCCCAGAUGCCUUAGCUAGACAUCAUUUCGAACGCUUGACCUCAAAUCAGGUAGGACUACCCGCUGAACUUAAGCAUAUCAAUAAGCGGAGGAAAAGAAACUAACAAGGAUUCCCCUAGUAACUGCGAGUGAAGCGGGAAGAGCUCAAAUUUUGAAUCUGGCGGUCUUUGGCCGUCCGAGUGUAUCUAGAG
rnacentral:rRNA from 1 species